rnacentral:rRNA from 1 species
AUUGAACGCUGGCGGCAGGCCUAACACAUGCAAGUCGAGCGGAGCGGCGGACGGGUGAGUAAUGCCUAGGAAUCUGCCUGGUAGUGGGGGAUAACGUCCGGAAACGGGAGCUAAUACCGCAUACUAUAAGAAGAGCCUAUGUCGGAUUAGCUGGUUGGUGGGGUAAAGGCUUACCAAGGCGACGAUCCGUCACUGGUUUUAGAGGAUGAUCAGUCAACCUGGAACUGAGACCCUGUCCAUACUCCUACGGGAGGCAGCAUUGGGGAAUGUUGGAAAAUGGGCGAAAGCCUGAUCCAGCCAUGCCGCGUGUGUGAAGAAGUUCUUCGGAUUGUAAAGCACUUUAAGGUGGAAGGCGUUACCUGCAGAAUAAGCACCGGCUAACUUCGUGCCAGCAGCCGCGGUAAUUC